AUGAAGCUGAGCAUUGCUGCAGGAACCAAGGGGCUGUUUAGUCAGAGAAGAAGGAACUGCCCAAGACGUGGAAUGAUCAAGAUUCAUUCUGUAACAGACCAUGUUUGCCUAAAGAAUACAAUCCUACCACAAGAGGGGUGGAGGAAAAGCUAAAGGAUCUACAAUGACAGAGUUCCAUUAAAAUCCUUCCUGAAAGGGCCUCAAGACACCCUGCAUCCAUGAUCCACUCCUCACCAACCAUCCUUAUAUCUGCCACAAAACAUUCUCCUCCGGUCCUGCGUCAUUUGCGUCACCCUCAAGCCAGGAGAAGAGUAGCUGAUUCACUCGCAACAGAAAAAAUGACACUGCCCUCUGUUGAACCUAUGAGUGUCUAGUCAUUGUUCACACUGUAAAACAGCUAUUAAAAGCUACUUAUAGGAGAUUUAA